rnacentral:sRNA from 1 species
AGAUGGCACGAGAGUGGGGCGGGUGAGGGUGGGGCAGAUGAGGGUGGGACUGUACUAAGGAUCCAGCGGCUGCUCUGGGGCCUCCUGCCUGGUUACUGCACACUGACGGUCACUGCUGCACUACGGGCAAGAGCCAGGGAUUGUACAUUGUGACACCAAGAAGACUCCUGUUGGUUCAGGGGGAGGCAGCGGUAGCCAGCCUGAGACGAAUAUUACUGUUUCUCUCAUAUGAAGAAUCUGGACUUCUUAAAUCAUAAAUAUAUGUGGCAUGUCAGUAGACGAGGGUGAAGACCUGUGGCGGGGAAAAGGACAGACACGAGAAGUGUGACACACAGAAAUGUCCACUCACCCGUGACAGACCAAAGUAAUGAGUCUAUCAAAAUCCAGCAUGGAAAGCAGUGAGUUUACUGGAGUUGCUCACUGGAGUACGGUGAGGAGCACAGGUCUACCCUCCUACCCUUGUGCCCUCCCUGCAAAAAGAAAAAAUACAACAAGACCAAUUUGUGUUGCCAAUAUACUCACUGGAGUAUGGUCAAGCUCCCAGUGGCCAGCCACUUAAAGUCCACAGUCAUAGAUACCACUGCAAAAGAAGCUUCCUAGUCCAUAGAAGCCGGCAGCUGCACAGAUCAUGGACUUCCACAUGGUUUCCUGCGGCAGCAUAGACCACAGACAACAGCCUCUGUAAGCAGCUGGGAACACUGACCUCAACACGUGGCAGCAUGGAGCAGCAUAGACAGCAUACAGCAUGGACCCCAGAUACCAACAUGGCCUCCAUCGGCAGCACAGACCAUGGAUAUGCACGUGACCUUCAACAGCAUCACAAACCAUGGAUAUUAGCAUGAAUCAUGGACACCAACAUGGCUGUGGUGGCAUCACCAACCUUAAAGGCUUUUUGAGGAGGCUUUUAGAGUUGUCCCCAUCUUGGACAUGCCUGCAUUGCUUAGUCAGGAUGAUCAUGUGGCUUGGCAGUGAGUUCAGGGGUGGAGCCUGAGUAAGCUCCAGGCUGCUGUUGCACACCACCCUGCUGUCCUUACUUGACAUACUGCUCCCCCACCCCUCACCCCAGUUCUUCACAGCUGCACUCCUACACUUGUCACUGCCCUGCCCACCCACCGCCAGCUGCCUAUCCCUUGUUCUGCCUCUCCCCACCUCAGGCAAGCACUGCUCCUCUCAGCUCAGCCUCUCUAGCUCCCAUUUAUUCAUUCAAGGUGUCAUUACAAACUGCAGUGUGUCACACAAUGUGUGUGUGUGUGUGUGUGUGUGUGUGUGUGUGUGUGUGUGUGUGUGUGUGUGUGUUGGCCCAAACAGCUUUACAUGAAAAUACUGAUUACAAUGAGUCAUUGGCCUGGUGCAAGGUUUCUGGUUCCCGAAACACCACAAGUACUGGAUAUGGCUAAGACUCUACUCAGAUACCCUAUUGUUGCCCAGAGUGAGGUUGAUCUUGAGUAGGACAUCUGGGAGCGUCCGAUUCACUCCAGGCCGCUGCACAACUCUCUGCCUUCCGUGACUCUGCACACUCCUCCUCAGGCACGGCGUCUCUCCUCAGAGCCUCCAUGGGUCUCUCAGGCCCCGCAGAGCUGCUCCCUGGUCCUGUGAACGCUGGAAUCUCUUCCUGGACUGGAACUCACCAAGAAUAGGCUGGGUGGACAGUGAGCUCCCGGGAUCAGCAUGUCAUUGCCUCCGAAGGCUGAGAUUACAAGUACCACCACCCUUAGCUUUGGGGUGUUAAGAUUUGAGGCAGGAUCUCAGUUCGUAGCCCUGGCUGUCCUUGAACCCAGGGGCUUCCUGACUCUGCUAGGAUUAUAAGCAAGUGCUGCCAUGCCUGACUCUGAUCUUUGUACAGAUUAAGAAAUUG